rnacentral:rRNA from 1 species
UACGGAGGGUGCAAGCGUUAAUCGGAAUUACUGGGCGUAAAGCGUGCGCAGGCGGUUUUGUAAGCCAGGUGUGAAAUCCCCGGGCUCAACCUGGGAAUGGCAUUUGGGACUGCAAGGCUGGAGUGCGGCAGAGGAGACUGGAAUUCCUGGUGUAGCAGUGAAAUGCGUAGAUAUCAGGAGGAAUACCGAUGGCGAAGGCAGGUCUCUGGGCUGACACUGACGCUCAUGCACGAAAGCGUGGGGAGCAAACAGG